rnacentral:rRNA from 1 species
AGCCCCUUAGAGGAAGGUGGAUAUGGUGAUUGAUGAUGUCCUUGAGUAGCGUGCGUUGGAUAUCGCGCGUGAAUUUGGGAGGCAUUCACUUCCAACCCUAAAUACGUCUCUAGUCCGAUAGUGCAGUAGUAGCGUGAGCGAAGACUGAAAAGUACCCUUAACGGGAGGUCAAAAGACCUGAAACCAUACGGUCAAAGAUUUAUAUAGCAUCAAAGGGAAGAAACCAAUUUUUGGUGGACCAGUGUUAUAUUGUUCGUUUCGAAAAACGAUCCAUGGAGUUCUGGUCAUUGGCGAGGUUAACUUUUCAAUAAGGUAGCCGAAGGGAAACCGAUUGCCCGCAGCUUUUUGCGAGGGGCAAGGUGUGCUCGCCUGGAGUCAAUGGUGCGGAUACCCGAAGCCCGGCGAUCUAUGCCUGAGCAGGAUGAAGCCUCUCGAAGGGGAGGUGGAGGUCCGAACCAGUUCUGAUGUGCAAAUCGUUUGGAUGACUUGGGUAUAGGGGUGAAAGGCCAAUCUAGGCCGGAAAUAGCUGGUUCCCCCCGAAACUAGUCGCAGCUAGACCUCGAUCGAGGUGGAAUGUGAGGUAGAGCACCGAUUGGGUGCUUAGGGGAAGAAAUUCCUCGGCAUCUUGUCAAACUCCGAACUUGCGUUCAUCGUAGACGUCGGGUGUGAGGCCAUCCGGGGUAAGCUUGGUGGCCAUAAGGGAAACAACCCAGACUACAGUUAAGGUCCCUAAAUUUCGGUCAAGUGUAAUACGAAAUGGCGUCGGCGGUCUAAAACAACCGGGAGGUGGGCUUAGAAGCAGCCAUCCUUCAAAGAUAGCGUAACAGCUCACCGGUCUAGAUCGUGGGCCCAGAAAAUGGACGGGGCUAAACCGAGUACCGAUACUGUAGGAUACCGAAAGGUAAUUCGGUAGGGGGGCGUGGUGCAUGGGCAGAAGCGGGGCUGUGAAGUCCUGUGGACCGUGUACCAACGAGGAUCAUGGAGUGAGUAGCAGCAAAGCACGGUGAGAAUCCGUGUCGCCGCAGGGGCAAGGGUUCCUUGGCAAUGUUCGUCAGCCAAGGGUUAGUCGAUCCUAAGGUAACUCUUAAUCGAAGUUAUCGAAUGGGAAACAGGUUAAUAUUCCUGUACCAGUAAGAUCUUUGCCUACGUAGCUAGUUCGGGAUAGCUGGAGUACACCCGUCAGUGUAUCUAAGCGCCUAAGCCGAUGAAGAACCGUAAUGGUGAGAAGUUGGUGAAUGCGCGAUGGGGCGAGCGUAAGCUUGCUUCCGGUGAUUCCUGGAUUCCGUGAAAACUGCGUAGUUACAAUCUUAUUGUUCGUACCAAGAACCGACACAGGUGUCCCUAGGUGAGUAGCCUAAGGCGUGUUAGCAUAAUCGUGGCGAGGGAACUCGGCAAAUUAGCCCUGUAACUUCGGGAUAAGGGGUGCCAGCAGUGAGAGCUGCUGGUCGCAGUGACAAGAGAACACCGACUGUUUAAUAAAAACAUAGGUCUCUGCUAGUUCGAAAGGAUGUGUAUAGAGGCCGAAGCCUGCCCAGUGUCGGCAUCUGAAAAUCUGUUCCAACGGAUCGAAGGACCGAUAAACGGCGGGGGUAACUAUGACCCUCUUAAGGUAGCGUAAUACCUUGUCGCUUAAUUGGCGACUUGCAUGCAGGCUCAACGAGUGUUCUACUGUCCCCGCCAUGACGCUAGUGAAAACAAUCAGUCUGGUGCACAAUCCAGACCCCUCCAUCUGAAAGCGAAGACCCCAUGGAGUUUCACUGCAACCUGUUGUUGUUGUAAGAAUUGGCAUGUGUAGGG